GGUGAAGUUUUAAAAUUCUUGCUCCCAAAGAAUAUAUGUCUUGUAUUCUCUCCAAAACAAAAUGCAAUAUAGAAAUCAUACUAAUUUCCAUAUUAAGAACCCAAUCUUUUGGGUUGCUUUUGUGUUUAAAAAAAAAAAAAAAAAAAAAAAAAAAAGCUUAUUCCAUAAAAGUGUUUUCAAACUGUGGAGCUGUCCUAGAAUCCAUCAAUGUGACACAUCUGUAUUGAAGUCGGUGCUAUGUCACUUCCACCUGCUUCAUAUUCACUCUAAAGUUGACAAGUAUCGUGUACAGGCUGAAUUUAUACUAUACAUGUCAGAGGGAGUACACUUCAGUUUCUUCUACCAAAAAAAAAAAAAAAAUGCUGUAAGAAGCAAUGAUGAUGUGAUGAUGCUUAAUUUAAAAAGAAACUGCAAGAAAGAAAGAGAGAGACAGAGAGCAGGCAGGAAGGCAAGAAAAAGAAAAAGUAAUAAAGAAAGUGGAACAGGCAGACUAAACUCACCAUUUUAUGCAGACUUGGAAUUCAGAUACCAAGCAAAAUUUAAGAAAUGUAACUGCUAAAUGGACAGCCUGAAGCAAACAUAAACACAAGGACAGAAUGUUGACUUCUUCUGGGAAUGCCAGUUAAAAUCUAUUUUAAACUAGAGAUGGACACAGCUGCAAACCUGAGAAGAAAGCGUUAAUGUGGGUGACCCAGCUUAUCCGUGAUCACUGGUUUGCUUUUCCUUUAUAGCAGGACAGAAGAUAUUAGAAUUGCAUUCAAAAAGGGAGUUUUAUGGAAAACCCUACUUUGAAGUGGGUAUUUGGCCUUUUGCUUUUAAAGGCAAGUAACUUUAAAUUCUCUUUGAAGAAGAGUAGAGGCCUAGUUGUACAGCAUUCUUUAUUACAAAGAUUUCUAGUCUUAGGCUCUACUAGCCCUCUCCUUUUAACAUCUCUUACCAAGGUGGAACAAAAACUAAUAAAAAUAGCUGAUGUCUAUCUCA
rnacentral:lncRNA from 1 species